UAUGAAAACACUGAGCACUGAAGGAGAUGUGGAGUCUGGACACAGCCACUCUUCCCACCCCAGACUGACCAUAUCAGGGUGCAGUGUGAUGGUGAGCAGCUUGCCCAGCUCUUCUGAAGCUCACAUUUAAUGGACCAAAGGUGCUCCUUUGAUUGGUGAGGAUGCCCCAG